rnacentral:rRNA from 1 species
UACGUAGGGGGCAAGCGUUGUCCGGAUUUAUUGGGCGUAAAGAGCUCGUAGGUGGUUCGGUAAGUCGGGUGUGAAAACUCUGGGCUCAACUCAGAGACGCCACCCGAUACUGCUGUGACUCGAGUCUGGUAGGGGAGUGUGGAAUUCCCAGUGUAGCGGUGAAAUGCGCAGAUAUUGGGAGGAACACCAGUGGCGAAGGCGGCACUCUGGGCCAGUACUGACACUGAGGAGCGAAAGCGUGGGUAGCGAACAGG